ensembl:lncRNA
GGAAACUGACAAGUAAACCUGACCAUCACUUCCUCCUGUAAAUGGUAGCUUCUUUCUCGCCCAGUAGUAAAGACUGCUGCCGUGUCUUGCUCACUGUCUGCCCCACAUGGUAUGGUGUUGCUCCAGGACACUUUGCAAGCCCUUAUGUGAAAGGCCGAGAUCAUCAGGGAAUCUCUGCUCUGCUUGUCAGAGAGCCAGACUUUUUUUUCUUUGUUGCUCUCAACUCUCCUAUAGUAUUUUCAUAUUGUGCAUGACAAAGGCCGAGACACUGCCUUGGCACAUCUACCGACAGGAAAAAGGAAAGAGAAGUGGCAGAAGCAUUCUACACCUAAAAGCCAAGAUCCAAAGGGACACAUGACGCAGCCACUCGUAGUCUGUGGACUACAAGAUGGGGAAUCCUUUCAUGAUGGUUGCAAGAAAAAGUUCAGUGGUAAUCGUGGUGAGAUUGUUACUUCUGGGUGGAUCCACGUGCAUUGUCAUAAGGAUACUCAAUCAGGCCUAUGGAGAGAGCCACAUAGUACAGAACCGCUGCUUCCUGCCAGUAGCCAAUAGAGAAAUGAAGCUUCUCACUAACAGCUACAUGAGUGAACCAUUCUACAAGUGGAUGAUCCAGCCUCAGUCAAACCUACAGAUGACGGUGACCUAAGGGCAUCUUAGCUGCAAUUUCGCAAGAGAUCUCUAGCUCAGAACCAGUUCACUAAGCCACUCACACAUUUUUUAACCAUAUUAACUAUGAGAUCAUAAAUGUUAACUGUUUUAAACUGCUAAACUCAUGGGCAACUUUUCAUGUAGUAAUAAACAAUGUCAUCUUCAAGAAGGCAUUCCUUCCACUGAUUUCUACCAUUCUCUAAUUACUUAUUCUGAAUUUUGAUAAAUAAAUUAGCUGACCGAAUGCUUGUCCAGAAUUUUUUUUCAGAAUUAUUUUCUACAUUCUGUGUAUAAAGAAACUCUCUAGCAGGAGAUUUAGCUUGCAUAUACAUAAGGUAAUAGGACAUUUGCUUGUCCUGCCUCAAACACAUCUGUACUGCUGAUGAACUGGAGAGAAUUCAAGAUGUUGUCAUAGACUUAUAGCAUCAGAAUAACCUUAAAGGGCAAACUAAUCCAGCCUACCAGUUAACUAACCAAUGCAUAAACUAGAACAUCCAUUUCAUCACUCAUCAACUGUAUUUGAACUCACAGUAUCCAAAGAACAGGUUUCUGUCUGCAGACAGCUAUAAAUUUUAGAAAAUCUUCUUUUAUAUUAAGUGUUUGACCCUUUCAAUUGAGCUUAUGUUUUGAGGGUAGCCAUACAGAACAAGUCUAGUCUCUUAAAAAAAAAAAAAAAACAACUCUUCCUUUUAAAACUCAAAAAUGCAAACCUAUCUUAACACUAAUAUUAAUCAGUUCAUUUUCUUAUUUAUUUAUUCACUUACUCAACAAAAUCUUAUUGGAUCUCUACCAAAUAUGUCACUAUGAUAGAAAUUGUUUACAACUCAACAAUGCAUUCAAACACAUUAUAUUCAAGAAAGGAAGGUAACAUAUGGAAUUCAAAUCAUUGGAUUAAUUGUGAUCAUUGUAAUAAGGUAAUACGCACACAUAC